UACAGAGGUCUCAAGCGUUGUUCGGAUUCAUUGGGCGUAAAGGGUGUGUAGGUGGCGCCGUAAGUCGGGUGUGAAAUUUCGGAGCUUAACUCCGAAACUGCAUUCGAUACUGCGGUGCUUGAGGACUGGAGAGGAGACUGGAAUUCAUGGUGUAGCAGUGAAAUGCGUAGAGAUCAUGAGAAGACCAGUGGCGAAGGCGG
rnacentral:rRNA from 1 species